rnacentral:rRNA from 1 species
GACGUAGGGGGCGAGCGUUGUCCGGAUUUAUUGGGCGUAAAGCGCACGUAGGCGGAUUUGUAAGUCAGGGGUGAAAUCCCGGGGCUCAACCUCGGAACUGCCUUUGAUACUGCAAGUCUCGAGUCCGAUAGAGGUGAGUGGAAUUCCUAGUGUAGAGGUGAAAUUCGUAGAUAUUAGGAAGAACACCAGUGGCGAAGGCGGCUCACUGGAUCGGUACUGACGCUGAGGUGCGAAAGCGUGGGGAGCAAACAGG